rnacentral:lncRNA from 1 species
CCUCAAUCAACUGCCUGGUGAAAUUAAAAGAAAAUGCAAUUGGUGUGUUGAUGCAGAAGUAUGCAUCCAAGUACGCACAUACAGUCUCUCAUUCACUUCACAGUGCCUGCUGUCAAGUCAUUCAAUCACAUUCGAUAGUGCUCCUCUGCUGCUAUAUCCCCUAGGAGCAGGAGAGGACAGUACAGAGAGUCUUUAGAGGCCCAUUGUGUCUGCUCAGUAGUAAGGAGGAUUCUGUUGCCUGCAUUAUUAAACAUAGCUUUGCUUACUGUUCUGGUAAGUGGAUCACUGGAGGCUUGGCUUCUAGGUACAAACACAACAUGGACGCAGACACACGGACACACACACUUUAAUACAUGUUUACUGGAAAGGAGCGGUCUGGGUUCACAAGGUGAAAACACUUGACCUUAGCUUGCUGAUUGGACAUUAUCUUCUAAUAUGGCAGAUGGCUGUAGAGUUAUGAUCCAUAGUUGACACUAUGCUGGUAAAGGAAUUCCUUUGAACAUGGACCAGCUGACAACAUCCAGUGAGACGCAAGCACACACAUACACACGCACGCCCACACUAGGGUUCAGAUGUUCAUACCAUCAUACCGUUUCUGUACCAUACUGCGGUAUAAGGUACUACCUAAUGUGCAAACAAGGGGCGCUAUUUCGUUCAAAAAAAACCCUGCACAAAACAAUUUAGGCAACAGGGAUCUUGAUCCAGGAGGGGGUUGAAUGUCUCUGCUGUAACCAAGAAGCUUGAUCUUGACAUCUAACCACUUAGUAAGUUAGCAAACCAAAUGCAUAGCUGGAGGCCUGAGCUGGUUAUCAUUUAUUUGACACAUCUUAGAUUUCUUAUAGUUAUACUUAACCUAAGCAGUGGCUGUCUACAGACAGAGGCUCACAGACCUUCCUGCCCUCCAUACUGUACACAGUACCUCCCUACACUCCUGCACACAUGGACACACACACACACACACGCACACACCCUCUCCUCAAACGUACACCCCUCUCUGCAUUCCCCCUGUCAGAGCUUCUGUAGACUGGUGUGUGUGUGUGUGUGUCUAUCAGUGUGUGUGUGUGUAAAUGUGAUUUUCCCAAUUCUACAGCACAGAGAAACAUGGCAUUUUGUCCUCUCUCAAAAAUAAGCCAGUAACUUUGAUGAACAGGUUAGCAGCUAGGAUGGUUAGCUACUGUACAUUUAGCUAUGAUACAGCUAGCUACUACUGUACAGUCAUCUAUUGUACUGUUAGCUACAAAUAGCUAAUAUUAACUAUAACCGACAUACAGUUAGCUUACAUACAGUUAGCUGCUGUAGUUUACCGUUUGAGCCCUUGGCAGGAUCAGGUCUGCCAUGUAAACCACUGUUGUCAAUGCUAGCUAGCUACUCAGGUUAAGUAUCCUCAUGAGUCAUAUGGGACAAUCAUAAAACCCAUUGAUAACGGGAGAAUAGAAAGAGAGAUCAGAGAUCAAAUAAAUAGCUCACGAGUCCACCUCGAUUGUUCCUCAGGCGUGUGAGUGUGCGAGAGUGUGAGUGUGUGCGUGGGUGAGUGUGUGUGCUUGUGGCAGUGGCAGUGUCAGUGAGUGUUAGUGUGAGAUAUGCGACCAUGUUGCGCGGCCAUCUGCUUUGUGUGUAACCAUAAACAAACGCAGGCCCACCAGAGGCCAGGCAACUUCACAGUAUCAUUUCCACAAGGUCCGGUCUAGACUGCAAGCAUGGGGAAAUGUAUCCAUGCUGCAUGUCUCUGGGUAGAUGAUUCACAGAUAAGGUUAUAACGGGAACGGUUAUGCAAUAUCAUUUAUAAUUCAUUACCACAAAUACAAUAUGUAGGCUGUUCUGUGCCAUACUGGAGCACAUGGGCAGAUUAGAGGAAGGAUAUUAAAGAGAGAGAGAGAGAGAGAGAGAGAGAGAGAGAGAGACAGACUAAAGAACUGAGCUAUGGGGGUGUUGACUGUCUGAACAGUGUUCCACAGCCUAACAUAGGCUUCUGUUGAGUCUAUGUGGGUCUACUGGUAGCCUAUAGGCUAUAGAUUCCAACAUUGCUAAAAAGGGGGCAAUAUCUGAGUUUGCUAACAUUGCUAAUAAAGGAAUGAUGCACAGUUAGCUUAGCAUAGCUAAAGACCAUGGGUCUUUGAAGCCUUGUCCCUUAUCCAUAUAGCCGUGGUAGUAUGGCUAGGCAGCAUGGGAUCUAUACACUAUUAUGUCUGUCUAAUCGAAUGCCUGGCAUGUGCAGAAUUCCAGAGCCGCGGGCAGUACUGGGUAAGGAUUGGAGGCUUGGGGCUUAGCGUGGGUCUGAGGUUGGGGUCAGGGUUGGAGCUGGGGCUGGGAACUUGGCUGAGGAUGGGGCAUGGGGCUGGAACUGGGGCUGAGGUUGGAGCUAGGGCUGGGGCGGAAACGAUAGGGGCAUUGGAUAGAGCUUGGGCGGCCCCGGCUCUUCUGCACCGUAAGCAGGCCAGGCAGGUUGUGUUACGGGUCAGGCCAGGCACAGACUUGCUGGGGGAGUCGAGCCAGGGUGGGGCACGGAGGGGGCUG